rnacentral:lncRNA from 1 species
AACGCGCCCCCCCUCCCUCCUCGCUCAUCACCGCCGCCGGCGCCUCCUCGGCACAAGUCUACAAGAUCAAGAUUUUGUUGAUUUCUCAUCUAUGUGAAGCAAAACACUUACCAUUAUGUUUAGCACUAAAAGAUGGGAACUGAGGCUCAGAGAUAGUGACUCAACAAAGGCUACCCAGUGAGUAUUAGAUUCACUUGCAUGCAUGCUGAGCAUUGUGAAACAUAU